GAUGAAGAACGUAGCGAAAUGCGAUAAGUAAUGUGAAUUGCAGAAUUCAGUGAAUCAUCGAAUCUUUGAACGCACAUUGCGCCCCCUGGUAUUCCGGGGGGCAUGCCUGUCCGAGCGUCAUUACAACCCUCAAGCUCAGCUUGGUGUUGGGCCCCGCCGCCCCGGCGGGCCCUAAAGUCAGUGGCGGUGCCGUCCGGCUCCGAGCGUAGUAAUUCUUCUCGCUCUGGAGGUCCGGUCGUGUGCUCGCCAGCAACCCCCAAUUUUUUUCAGGUUGACCUCGGAUCAGGUAGGGAUCCCCGCUGAACUUAAGCAUAUCAAUAAGCGGAGGA
rnacentral:misc_RNA from 1 species